rnacentral:lncRNA from 1 species
CUGGACUGUCUGGAGAGAAAGGCAACACAGGAAAACAAGGCAGAAAAGGCCGCAGAGGAGAACCAGGUGAACGAGGAGAACCUGGUCUAAGAGGAGAUCGUGGAGAUCCUGGGACUAGCAAUAAUAUUCCUGGUCCUAAGGGUGAAAAGGGAAACCCAGCACGGCAGGUAAGCAAGUAGCUCUGUAUUAUGGAGAGAGGAUUUGUAUAAUUGCUGAGUUUUAUUGGCUGUCCAGUGACUAAACAGCUCUUCUCUUUUAUUUUGUAUC